rnacentral:rRNA from 1 species
UACGAAGGGGGCUAGCGUUGCUCGGAAUUACUGGGCGUAAAGGGCGCGUAGGCGGACAGUUUAGUCAGAGGUGAAAGCCCAGGGCUCAACCUUGGAAUUGCCUUUGAUACUGGCUGUCUUGAGUUCGGGAGAGGUGAGUGGAAUGCCGAGUGUAGAGGUGAAAUUCGUAGAUAUUCGGCGGAACCCCAGUGGCGAAGGCGACUCACUGGCCCGAUACUGGCGCUGAGGCGCGAAAGCGUGGGGAGCAAACGGG